rnacentral:tRNA from 1 species
CAGAAAAUAGUUUAUGUAAUUAAAAUAUUAAUUUUGGAGAUUAAUGAAAAAGAAUCUUUUUUUCUGA